rnacentral:rRNA from 1 species
UCGAACGCGAAAAGCAGCAAUGCUGAGUAGAGUGGCGCACGGGUGAGUAACACGUAACUGACAUGUCCUCGAGACAAGGAUAACCGUUCGAAAGGACGGCUAAUACUUGGUAAGCCCACGGGUUUGGACCUGAGGGAAAAGGGUUGGGAUUCUUCGGAACCAAUCGCUCGAGGAGUGGGUUGCGGCCCAUCAGGUAGUUGGCGGGGUAAUGGCCCACCAAGCCUAAGACGGGUAGCUGGUCUGAGAGGAUGAUCAGCCACACUGGAACUGAGACACGGUCCAGACUCCUACGGGAGGCAGCAGUGGGGAAUCUUGCGCAAUGGGAGAAAUCCUGACGCAGCAACGCCGCGUGGGUGAUGAAGGUCUUCGGAUCGUAAAGCCCUGUCGGAGGGGAAGAUGCUUUUGCAUGCUAAUAGUAUGCAGAGGUGACGGUACCCUCAAAGGAAGCACCGGCUAACUCUGUGCCAGCAGCCGCGGUAAUACAGAGGGUGCAAGCGUUGUUCGGAAUUAUUGGGCGUAAAGGGAGUGUAGGCUGUUUGUUAAGUCUUCUGUGAAAUCUACGGGCUCAGCCUGUAACGUGCAGAGGAAACUGGCAAACUUGAGUGUCGGAGAGGAUAGGGGAAUACCCGGUGUAGAGGUGAAAUUCGUAGAGAUCGGGUGGAACACCAGUGGCGAAGGCGCCUGUCUGGCUGACAACUGACGCUGAGACUCGAAAGCAUGGGGAGCAAACAGGAUUAGAUACCCUGGUAGUCCAUGCCGUAAACGAUGAUAGCUAGAUGUGUGAGGUAUUGAC